GUUGAGUAAGUUUGUUCAUGCUGAGAGCCUAAGUGUGAGUCUAAGUCUUAUAUUGACUAAAAAUGAUAAAGUUGAGUACUAAAGAUGAAGAUUCAUAAAUGGGUGUUGCUCCCUCCACCUCCCAAGUACUUCUCCACAUCCCCGUUAUAUUCAUUUAUUUCAAAAAUAUUUUACAUCUCCCCAAUAUUUUCUUUUAUUCCACAAAUACCCUACACCUUCCUAUUAUCCUUAACAAUCUUUCUCUUUCUCUCUCUACAUUAAUGGAGCAUUUACAUGGCUCAUUAAUGGAGCAUUUACUUGGCUCAGAUUUGAACUUCUCAUAUAUUCCUGUCAAUACCCAAUUUCGUCCGGAUUAUUAAAUACAAAUGCCUAGAGUUAAAAAGAAAUUUCAUUAAUUAAUUAAUUCCUUUUUAAGAAAAAAUAUAGAGAAAGAAAAAGGAAAUAUUUUUAUUUAUAUUUAUUUUAUUUUCCUUUUUAUCUUAUUUUAUUUCAUUUUAUUUUAUUUUAUUUAUUUUUUCUUCCUUCAAGUACUUUUAUUUGUUAUUUUUAUUGUUUUUAUUUUUAUUUUUAUUUGUCCCUUGUUUUAUUUCACUUUAUUUAUUUUUAUCUAUUAUUCCUCACCCUUUCUUUUCUUUUAUUAUUUAUUUUUUUUCUUUUUCUUAUAUUUCGUAUUAAAAAAUGUUGUAACAAAAAAAAAACCCAAAGGAAAAAAAAAAAACAAACAACAAACAAAAAAAAAAGGAAAGAUAAAAGAUUUAAUAGUCAAACUGUGUUUCUCCUUUGAAUUUUUUUUGGAUUGGCGGUCUUUUCUUUCACUCUUUCCUUCCUACGGCGCUUUCUAUCCUGCAACACACAACGGCGUGUACCUCUACACGCAAUCGAUUUCCCUUUUCUGGUUAGGAACCCCUGGGCACCAUGGUUUUUGUCACUGACUAUGCACCAAAGAGGAAUAGGGUUUGAGAAAGGUGGUGGCUUUCGCAGAUUCGGAAUGGAUCCUCUCGGGUGGGGUAACAAGAGAAGGUUGACUUCCGGAAGGGACAGGGGUCAUUCAAUACUGAACUCCUUGAAUCACUAUAGAGGAGACUCAGAGAGUUGAAAGGGGGGGCGUCAGUUUACUCAAAAAAAACUUCUCAGCGUCUUCCAAAAAAAAAAGGCACACAAUAUCAAACCAAAAAAAGGAAAGAAAAGGAAAAAAGGAGAUCAUUCACCUCAUAGAGACUACUACUCUCUACUCAACGGAAUCCUUCUCAAGAUUUUCCCACGAUACCAAACCGAUCCUAACAUUCUAACCUCAACCACAUUUCCCUUUCAAUUCCAAUUCCUCACCUUCAACAGCAUCCAGGUUUCAUCCACCAAAAACCCCAAACAUCGAAGACUCGUCAUCAACGCCGAACCAUCACAUAGAGCUCUUGACUCCGGACCUUCAUCACUAACUUCGUAUAUCCUGUCAUAGCAACCGUAGAAGCUCCAAGUGGUAAACGAGUAAACUCAUUUCACAAUCAUUGUUAAAAUGUCUUUUUACCCUGCCUUUAUAAUGCCUCUAUAUGCUUAUGAAUAGUUGCCAUUGAAUAUUCUGAGCGUUGUAUGCAUAUCUCGUUUUUUUGUUGUUCAACACUCAAUAUACACGAUUUGCUUCUGCACAUUGUUUGUUAUACAUUCAUGCCGACAACAUAAACGCGCUCUACCACUUUCAACGAUUAGAAACCAAUCCCCUCUGUGUAUAACCCAAACCUGCAAACCGAUAUCCCACAUACAUACCUUCAUCAGUCUUGAUCUUUACUACAUGCCGUUUCUCUUCUCUACAAAGAAAAGAACCAACCCAGAUCCCCAAUCGGUCACACCUUUGUUUAUCUCAAGCCUCCAACAAAAGAGUUAAUCCCCUUGAACAAUAGAAACAAAAUCACAAACAAAUCAAAUCAACAGUCAAGAAAAGCCCUUCAGAGCCAGAUGAAGACGGAAACGUGCGGCAAGCAAGAGGAAAACUUCCCUUCCAUGCGCUAGUCAGAAUAGAGAGAGGAGAGGAGCUCGACACUGUGGCUGGCGAAGAUCCUGAGUGCAGCGCGGCGGUGCACGCGGUUUCCUCCGACACGACGCGCGGCGGCUGACUAAGGCUGGUACGGUGGAAGCUGGUUCAGCAGAGGCGACAACGCUCUCGAGCAGGGAGGCAAACCCUUCUCUGUUUGUUUCGUUCAAAGGAGGGGAGGCUAGGUCCUGGACGUUCAAUGCAAAAGUGGGGGUCAUAUGAUAGAACCCAAAUUUCUGAACCAAGGGGCGUUGGGUUAAAUUCCUGGGCCAGGUUCUGCUAAAGAAAAUUUCCUUCCUGGUUCACACACCCCUAAACCUCAUUGCUAUUCCCCGUCAUCAUGGGCUUAGAUUAUACACUCCUAGUUUUUCACCUUUGCGUUUUUUUUUAUUUAAACUUGUUUGUUUGAAUUUUAUUCUAUGUUUUUUGUUUUUACCUAAACUCAUUCCCUU
rnacentral:lncRNA from 1 species